AGCUAUGGCAAGGUGGUUGAUCUGGCCCCACUCCAUUUGGAUGCAAGGAUUUCACUUUCUACCCUUCAGCAGCAGCUGGGCCAGCCUGAGAAAGCUCUGGAAGCUCUGGAACCAAUGUAUGAUCCAGAUACUUUAGCACAGGAUGCAAAUGCUGCACAGCAGGAACUGAAGUUAUUGCUUCAUCGUUCUACUCUGUUGUUUUCACAAGGCAAAAUGUAUGGUUAUGUGGAUACCUUACUUACUAUGUUAGCCAUGCUUUUAAAGGUAGCAAUGAAUCGAGCCCAAGUUUGUUUGAUAUCCAGUUCCAAGUCUGGAGAGAGGCAUCUUUAUCUUAUUAAAGUAUCGAGAGACAAAAUAUCAGACAGCAAUGACCAAGAGUCAGCAAAUUGUGAUGCAAAAGGUAAUAACUUCAUUUGCAUUAUGUUAUAUAAAAUUUGGCUGAAUUGAAAAAGACUCAUGAAGUAACACUGGACAGCAAUCUAAUUGAAAAUAUACUUUUCAAAUAAAAUGAAAUUUUCCAAUCUAAA
rnacentral:lncRNA from 1 species